GUAGUUUAUGCUUGUCUCAAAGAUUAAGCCAUGCAUGUCUAAGUAUAAGCAAUAUAUACCGUGAAACUGCGAAUGGCUCAUUAAAUCAGUUAUCGUUUAUUUGAUAGUACCUUACUACUUGGAUAACCGUGGUAAUUCUAGAGCUAAUACAUGCUAAAAACCUCGACUUCGGAAGGGGUGUAUUUAUUAGAUAAAAAACCAACGCCCUUCGGGGCUCCUUGGUGAAUCAUAAUAACUUAACGAAUCGCAUGGCCUUGCGCCGGCGAUGGUUCAUUCAAAUUUCUGCCCUAUCAACUUUCGAUGGUAGGAUAGUGGCCUACCAUGGUAUCAACGGGUAACGGGGAAUUAGGGUUCGACUCCGGAGAGGGAGCCUGAGAAACGGCUACCACAUCCAAGGAAGGCAGCAGGCGCGCAAAUUACC
rnacentral:rRNA from 1 species